CUCUAAGUCAAGAUCUACUAGAUUUCGAGUCUAUCCCAGGAGAGUGUGUAUUAUUACAAUAUGUAGAUGACUUGUUGAUAGCAGCAGUUACAAAGGAAGUAUGUCAGCAAGCAACGCACGAUCUACUACGCAUUCUCUGGAAGGCAGGAUACAAGGUGUCAAGAAGGAAGGCUCAGUUGUGUUUGCCAACUGUCAAAUAUCUGGGAUUCCAUAUCUCUGAAGGUCAAAG